rnacentral:lncRNA from 1 species
UGAGAUUUGAGAACUGAUCUAACUAUAUGGCAAAGGAGCAUCCCUCAGAGAGAGCUAUCGCCAUUCCGGAGCACACUGCCUCCAGAGGGCAAGUGCUGAAUGCUGAGCUCACACUUGCCUUACAGAGGCGGACAAGGGCCCUGGAGCAAGAACUGCAAGAGCUGCUUCUCAGGGUGAGACCUGUGUGUUUAAGAUGAAAGGGUCUCAGAGCAGGUGAGUGGGGAGCCUGGCCCCUUUGC